UACGUAGGGGGCAAGCGUUGUCCGGAUUUAUUGGGCGUAAAGAGCGUGUAGGCGGCUAGAUAGGUCCGUUGUGAAAACUGGAGGCUCAACCUCCAGACGUCGACGGAAACCGUGUGGCUAGAGUCCGGAAGAGGAGAGUGGAAUUCCUGGUGUAGCGGUGAAAUGCGCAGAUAUCAGGAGGAACACCGGUGGCGAAGGCGGGUCUCUGGGCCGAUACUGACGCUGAGGAGCGAAAGCGUGGGGAGCGAACAGG
rnacentral:rRNA from 1 species